GUCACAACUGACAUUUGUUAAAGUGCAUUGUUGCCUUGAACAUAGUUAGAUACGUGGCAACAAGUACAGAAACUAAAAUAAAACACUUUUUUCACCAUGAGAGGGAAAAAAUGGAUAAACGUUUUGUCUUCCUUUUGUUACUGUUUCCAUUUCCACUUGCAAAGCUUUGUAAACAAUAUCAUUCAUUCCAAGCUUCCAUGGAUGCUCUCUCUGUGAAGCAAGCAAGCUUUGCAUUUCUGCUAUUCUGUCGUGUCUCGAGAUCCAUAAAUUAUUUUGUUGAAGCUUUGCAAAAAUUUUAAGCUAUUCAGCAAUGCAAACAUAGUCCACUAGCGAGAAUCGCGUCUCGAGAUCCAUAAAUUGUUUUGUUGAAGCUUUGCAAAAAAAUUCUGCUAUUCAGCAAUGCAAACAUAGUCUCCUUGCGAGAAUUGCGUCUCGAGAUCCUUGCAAGCUGCCGCAGCUACAUAUAGAUCACAUGCUUCAUGACUGAAUUUCCGAUUCUGGUCAGCACAAGAUUUGGCAACGGCGCAAGUUUGUCUAAAAACCUAAUUUUAUUCUUCAUCAUAAUCACGCACUUCAUGGAAAGCGACUAGGAAUGAUAUUUCUUACCAUCCAGAAGAGCAGUGACAAGAGGGGCUGAAGUACUUUUAGCAAGAUGCUUGUAGUAUGCAGCUCGUGGAGGCAUGGUGAAGAAGAGAUGUAGAAAAAGUUGGGGUCAAGCUGGGAAGAUGAAGAAAAAUGUCACAAAGUUAUAUUCGGCUACACAUGAGGUUGCAAAUGUGAGUUGGUGUAUGAAUUGUUGAUCCACUAAACUGAUAUAGACCGUGUACAUACAACUCCAACACUAAAUCUUAGGAACAAAUAUGUCCUGAUUUAGAUUUAAAUGAUGAUUAUCUUUCACAAAAAACGGGAUGAAUCAAUCUCAUGUCAUCUGAAUCCCACACCGGAAUUGUUAGAAUGAAUAGCAAGGAAGAUGAGGUAUAAAUAACAAGUGUGUGACACAUUGCAAUAUACUUACCUGGAUGGGGUCAAUGGGUGAUCAUGAAGGCCCAUGGCCUAGGCAAGUGACUUCCAUUGCACUUAGGAGGGGUGCUUGCCUAAGGUCUACCCAAGUGGUGGAACCUACAUCAUAAUUUGUUGCUGUGGGGGCCUGCGUUCGCGCGGCCCUCUUCAAGUUAAGUUUGUAAAAUACUUUUUUAAAAGGGUCACUAGACUUGUAUCAAUCCUGUUCAAAUAAGGAGACAUAAAUAAUUAAGUCUUGCUGUGCUUGACGAGGGUAAGUCUUGCUGUGCUUAACAGGGGUGGGAGUAAUAUAAUGGUUUUUGUUUGUAACUUUUGGGUUUACAUAAUAGAAAAGCUGCUUACAAGUCUUAAUCUUUCUAGAUUUUGUUGGUGAUGUUCCAAUGUGUAAUCUGAUGUUUGGCAGUAGCUCAGUCUGUAUACUCUAUGUGCUUGCACAUUUUGGUGAGGGUGUUGUAUAUCAUCUUUCAUUGGUGAGGUUUUUAAAAGAUGGAACAAAUCAAUUAGCUCAAUACAGUUCCUCUAUUGCAAGGUGCACGAUGAAUAUCACUGGCAUGUCUUUCAAGUGUUGGUAAUCAGAAAACAUCAUUAGUAUUCAUCUAGUUUGCCAUCUCUGUAGACACAUAGCACUCGUAAUUGCAAUUAUAAAAAUAGGUGUUUCUUAUUGCUUCUUACAUGUCAUUCAUGCACACACAACCAAUUAAUAGAAUAAAAAUUGUAUAUAAUUUAGUUUGGCUUGAUCAUAUCCAACAAGAUCUGGAUCUCAUUUUUCGAUAAUCCAUUCUUUAAACUAUUUAGUUCCUCAGAAAUGGAACAUGCCAGGCAAAUAGAUACCUCAGAACCAAAACAACGUAUUCUUUUUAUAUUAGAAACAAAGUGAUUAAAGAAGUUUUAUAUUUAGCAACAGUGUUUGGCACAAGUGUGACAAGUUUACUAAUUUAAAAGGAAAACUCAUGUUGCUUAUAUAUAGAGUUUCAAAUAAGAUAUUAAGAAUGUUAGGAAGUUGAUGAUAUAAUGGAUGGAGAUUUUGGAGUAUUCCCAUUAUUGAAUGAAGGUUAUGAACUCACUGCCUAAAGAAGUUACUGGGACAAACAUUUCUAUCUUGUGAAGAGAAGUUGGAGAAUUUCAAUGAGUUGCAUUGUGUCGACAGAGGGAGAAAGUAAUUUGUCGACUCCAUAAGUGGGCUCAAGCAACCAUCUUGAAGUUGGUUCAAACAUUUUUAUUGUACAAUUCAAAAACGGUUUCCAACAUUCAGCCUGUGUUCGUUGUGGUGAUAUCGAUUCAGCUCUAGGGAAUUUCGAAGAGAUGAAAGAUCCAGAAGCUUAUGGGAGAAAGUUUCAUUAGGACUAGCAUAUUUCAGUGGUAGAGACUGCAAAUUGCAUUUUAAAUACAGGGGCUAGGAAAGCUCCACGACAAUUGAAAGGUUUUGCAAAACUGAAGAAUUUAACACAAGGUUACUCUAUUCAAAAGCAAGCCAGUAUAACUAUAUCAUACCACACUAACUCUUAACUUUUCACAAAAUCUUUCAAAUAACAGUAAAUUAUACAUCAACCCAAUUCUAUUUUCUAUAUUGUCACAUUUUUAUACAAAAGCAUCAUAGUAAUAUUCAAUCUAACACCAA